rnacentral:rRNA from 1 species
AUUGAACGCUGGCGGCAGGCCUAACACAUGCAAGUCGAACGGUAACAGGAAGAAGCUUGCUUCUUUGCUGACGAGUGGCGGACGGGUGAGUAAUGUCUGGGAAACUGCCUGAUGGAGGGGGAUAACUACUGGAAACGGUAGCUAAUACCGCAUAACGUCGCAAGACCAAAGAGGGGGACCUUCGGGCCGCUUGCCAUCGGAUGUGCCCAGAUGGGAUUAGCUAGUAGGUGGGGUAACGGCUCACCUAGGCGACGAUCCCUAGCUGGUCUGAGAGGAUGACCAGCCACACUGGAACUGAGACACGGUCCAGACUCCUACGGGAGGCAGCAGUGGGGAAUAUUGCACAAUGGGCGCAAGCCUGAUGCAGCCAUGCCGCGUGUAUGAAGAAGGCCUUCGGGUUGUAAAGUACUUUCAGCGGGGAGGAAGGGAGUAAAGUUAAUACCCUUGCUCAUUGACGUUACCCGCAGAAGAAGCACCGGCUAACUCCGUG